ACGCUGACAGAAUGCUUAACACAUGCAAGUCUACUUGAACUUCGGUUUGGGUGGCGGACGGGUGAGUAACGCGUAAAGAACUUGCCUCACAGUUAGGGACAACAUUUGGAAACGAAUGCUAAUACCUGAUAUUAUGAUUUUAGGGCAUCCUAAGAUUAUGAAAGCUAUAUGCGCUGUGAGAGAGCUUUGCGUCCCAUUAGCUAGUUGGAGAGGUAACGGCUCACCAAGGCGAUGAUGGGUAGCUGGCCUGAGAGGGUGAACGGCCACAAGGGGACUGAGACACGGCCCUUACUCCUACGGGAGGCAGCAGUGGGGAAUAUUGGACAAUGGACCAAAAGUCUGAUCCAGCAAUUCUGUGUGCACGAUGACGUUUUUCGGAAUGUAAAGUGCUUUCAGUUGGGAAGAAAAAAAUGACGGUACCAACAGAAGAAGUGACGGCUAAAUACGUGCCAGCAGCCGCGGUAAUACGUAUGUCACAAGCGUUAUCCGGAUUUAUUGGGCGUAAAGCGCGUCUAGGUGGUUAUGUAAGUCUGAUGUGAAAAUGCAGGGCUCAACUCUGUAUUGCGUUGGAAACUGCAUGACUAGAGUACUGGAGAGGUAAGCGGAACUACAAGUGUAGAGGUGAAAUUCGUAGAUAUUUGUAGGAAUGCCGAUGGGGAAGCCAGCUUACUGGACAGAUACUGACGCUAAAGCGCGAAAGCGUGGGUAGCAAACAGGAUUAGAUACCCUGGUAGUCCACGCCGUAAACGAUGAUUACUAGGUGUUGGGGGUCGAACCUCAGCGCCCAAGCUAACGCGAUAAGUAAUCCGCCUGGGGAGUACUUACGCAGUAUGAAACUCAAAGGAAUUGACGGGGACCCGCACAAGCGGUGGAGCAUGUGGUUUAAUUCGACGCAACGCGAGGAACCUU
rnacentral:rRNA from 1 species